GCGCCCGUGGCUCAGUUGGAUAGAGCAUUGGCCUCCGGAGCCAAAGGCCGCAGGUUCGAAUCCUGCCGGGCGCGCCA
rnacentral:tRNA from 1 species